rnacentral:rRNA from 1 species
GAGUUUGAUCCUGGCCAGGAUGACCGCUAGCGGCAGGCUUAACACAUGCAAGUCGGGGGGUAUCGCUUCUUCGGAGGCAGAGACCGGCGCACGGGUGCGUAACGCGUAUGCAAUCUACCUUUUACAGGGGGAUAGCCCAGAGAAAUUUGGAUUAAUACCCCAUAGUAUAGUGAGUUGGCAUCAACACACUAUUAAAGUCACAACGGUAAAAGAUGAGCAUGCGUCCCAUUAGCUAGUUGGUAAGGUAACGGCUUACCAAGGCUACGAUGGGUAGGGGUCCUGAGAGGGAGAUCCCCCACACUGGUACUGAGACACGGACCAGACUCCUACGGGAGGCAGCAGUGAGGAAUAUUGGACAAUGGGCGCAAGCCUGAUCCAGCCAUGCCGCGUGCAGGAUGACGGUCCUAUGGAUUGUAAACUGCUUUUGUACGAGAAGAAACACUGCUUCGUGAAGCAGCUUGACGGUAUCGUAAGAAUAAGGAUCGGCUAACUCCGUGCCAGCAGCGCGGUAA